UUGUAAUGCACAUAAGACAUACAAUUUUAGCAAUUUUUUUUUAUUUUUACCUUCAUCCAAGUAUUUUAGCUUCAGCUCUGUAAUAUUUUCUACAUUUUUAUGUGGGGAAGUCACUGAAGCACACCACUAGAUGGUGCUGUUUUUCCAUUAUUACAAAUGAGUCUCAUCACCCUGUGAUGAAGAAAAUGUCAAGAUGGAGAACCAACCAUCAAUGGUCACAUAUUGCCCCCUACCCAAUUGAAAAAUAAAAGCCCUUUUUCUGUGUACGAACCAAACUUUUGAAAUAAAGAACAAUUAUGACAAACCGAAAGUUGAACAUACAGGGCUCCAGCAUCAAAAUGGAGAAUCAACUUCAAAUAGCUCCAGAGUGCCAGCUUCAAAUUAAAAAAAAAAAAAGUAAGCCCCACUCCUGUGUUUGACCAAAACCUUUGGAAUUGAUGUCACUUAUGUUUGACCUCAAGACAAACAAAAAUGGGUUCAAUGUCAAAAUUGAGGUCCUUCAAGAAAUAGCUACAUAGCACCCCCUUCAUAAUUUCAAAAUGAAACCCCUGCUUCUUUGAGUGACUCAGACCAAUGGACUAACAGACACUUAUCUUGGAUCCAACUGAAAAUGGCACGACUGCGUUCUCUACAACAUUUCUAAAUGAAAGCCCUGCUCUGGUGCGCGUCCAAAACCUGUGGAAUUAGUGACACUGAAGUUGAACCUUAACACGAACAAAAACAGUUUGAAUAUCAAAAUGGAGAUCCAUCAAAACAUGGCUCUAUGGCGCCACCUUCAAAUUUCUUCAGUGUGAACCACGCUCCUGUGUUUGACCGAAACCUAUGAAAUUGAUGACACUUAUGUUUGACCUCAAGAUGAACAAAAAGGGUUUAACUGUCAUAAUGGAUGUCCAUCAUAAAAAGGCCCCAUAGCGCCCCCUUCAAAAUUUCAAAACGUAAACCCGCUCCUGCGGUCCAGACAAGUGGAUUCAAUGACACUUAUCUUGAACCCCAAGAGGAAAAGAAAUGGGUGCCAAUGUAAAAAUUGGGGACCCAUCAAAAAAUUCCUUCAUUUCUCCCUCUACAAAAUUUCAAAAUGUAAGUUCAGCUCCUGUGUUUGACCUAAACCGAGGGAUUCAAUGACACCUACGUUGGACUCAAAGUUAAACAAAAAGUUUUCCACUGUCAAAAUGGAUUUCCAACAAAAAUGUGGUCAUAGCGCCCUCUACAAAAAUUUCAGGACUCAGUGCUGUAUUUGAAGUCUGGUGUAUACCCUGUCAAUAGGAAUGGAGCCAGGACCGUCCGUUGUGGAACCCCUGUACUUCUCAAUAAGGCCCAGAAACACAGUUCCCCAGCGUGAAGAACUGUGUGAUUCCUGUCAGGCAAUUUGUGAUCCAGGAAACACAGGUAGGAUCCACGCCCAUCUCUGUGGGCUUGUCUUUUAGUAUGAUCGGUUGGAUGGUGUUGAACGUUAUGGUGACCUGUUGUUAUGAUGACCUGUCAGUUCAUUGACCUAUUGUUAUAAGUGGUAUCAUAAAAAAAUAAGACCAUCUUAAGAAGAGAGACUGAUUUUUAUUAGAAAACAUAACCUGAAACUGGAUAUCUCUUGCAGGGUUUUAUAGUCUUGAAUAUGUAAAGGAUUCGUAAUAUCAUUGACUUUGAAACCAUUUAAGUUUUUUUUGUAGGAUCAGAUUAACAAAAAACAACUGGCACUCUCAUGAUCACUUCUAAUUGUACAGGAAAAAGUGAAAUAUUGCAAAAAGUAUAAAUGGUAGAAAGGUGAAAAGUUCACCCCACUAGAUGGUGCUGUCAUACCAUAAUCAAAAAUUACUAUGGUUACAUUCUGACUGUAAACUUCUUUUGAGUACUUCCACAUUCCACGGGGAGGUUGUAAUACAUACAUUUUUAGGCAUUUGUCUAUCCGAAGCACCUCGACUGAUCAUUUUUCCUUGUAAUGCACAUAAGACAUACAAUUUUAGCAAUUUUUUUUUAUUUUUACCUUCAUCCAAGUAUUUUAGCUUCAGCUCUGUAAUAUUUUCUACAUUUUUAUGUGGGGAAGUCACUGAAGCACACCACUAGAUGGUGCUGUUUUUCCAUUAUUACAAAUGAGUCUCAUCACCCUGUGAUGAAGAAAAUGUCAAGAUGGAGAACCAACCAUCAAUGGUCACAUAUUGCCCCCUACCCAAUUGAAAAAUAAAAGCCCUUUUUCUGUGUACGAACCAAACUUUUGAAAUAAAGAACAAUUAUGACAAACCGAAAGUUGAACAUACAGGGCUCCAGCAUCAAAAUGGAGAAUCAACUUCAAAUAGCUCCAGAGUGCCAGCUUCAAAUUAAAAAAAAAAAAAGUAAGCCCCACUCCUGUGUUUGACCAAAACCUUUGGAAUUGAUGUCACUUAUGUUUGACCUCAAGACAAACAAAAAUGGGUUCAAUGUCAAAAUUGAGGUCCUUCAAGAAAUAACUACAUAGCACCCCCUUCAUAAUUUCAAAAUGAAACCCCUGCUUCUUUGAGUGACUCAGACCAAUGGACUAACAGACACUUAUCUUGGAUCCAACUGAAAAUGGCACGACUGCGUUCUCUACAACAUUUCUAAAUGAAAGCCCUGCUCUGGUGCGCGUCCAAAACCUGUGGAAUUAGUGACACUGAAGUUGAACCUUAACACGAACAAAAACAGUUUGAAUAUCAAAAUGGAGAUCCAUCAAAACAUGGCUCUAUGGCGCCACCUUCAAAUUUCUUCAGUGUGAACCACGCUCCUGUGUUUGACCUAAACCUAUGAAAUUGAUGACACUUAUGUUUGACCUCAAGACGAACAAAAAGGGUUUAACUGUCAUAAUGGAUAUCCAUCAUAAAAAGGCCCCAUAGCGCCCCCUUCAAAAUUUCAAAACGUAAACCCGCUCCUGCGGUCCAGACAAGUGGAUUCAAUGACACUUAUCUUGAACCCCAAGAGGAAAAGAAAUGGUUGCCAAUGUAAAAAUUGGGGACCCAUCAAAAAAUUCCUUCAUUUCUCCCUCUACAAAAUUUCAAAAUGUAAGUUCAGCUCCUGUGUUUGACCUAAACCGAGGGAUUCAAUGACACCUACGUUGGACUCAAAGUUAAACAAAAAGUUUUCCACUGUCAAAAUGGAUUUCCAACAAAAAUGUGGUCAUAGCGCCCUCUACAAAAAUUUCAGGACUCAGUGCUGUAUUUGAAGUCUGGUGUAUACCCUGUCAAUAGGAAUGGAGCCAGGACCGUCCGUUGUGGAACCCCUGUACUUCUCAAUAAGGCCCAGAAACACAGUUCCCCAGCGUGAAGAACUGUGUGAUUCCUGUCAGGCAAUUUGUGAUCCAGGAAACACAGGUAGGAUCCACGCCCAUCUCUGUGGGCUUGUCUUUUAGUAUGAUCGGUUGGAUGGUGUUGAACGUUAUGGUGACCUGUUGUUAUGAUGACCUGUCAGUUCAUUGACCUAUUGUUAUAAGUGGUAUCAUAAAAAAAUAAGACCAUCUCAAGAAGAGAGACUGAUUUUUAUUAGAAAACAUAACCUGAAACUGGAUAUCUCUUGCAGGGUUUUAUAGUCUUGAAUAUGUAAAGGAUUCGUAAUAUCAUUGACUUUGAAACCAUUUAAGUUUUUUUUGUAGGAUCAGAUUAACAAAAAACAUCCUUUGUUAAUGCUCAGUGGCUAAAAAAAGCCUCUGACAUCGACUGCUGUAAAAUCAUAUUGGAUUCAUAUUUUUUCCAGAUUUUUUUUCACACAUCUCUCAAUUAACUUCUGCCCUGAUCAAAAAUAGUACAUUUUUUUAUCCAAAAAACAAUUUUUUAAGCCUUUGAGAGUCCAUUCAAAACAAAACGGCUAAUGCCUAAACAAAACAAUGGCCCUGCUCCAUGUGUGAAUACUGAAAAGAUGUUUGCAGUCAGCAGCAUGUAACUGUAGUGAUUUGUAAUAAUGGAAAAACAGCACCAUCUGGUGGUGUGCUUCUGUCACUGCCCUACAUAAAAAAGAUGUUUGCAGUCAGCACAUCACCAUAGAAAUAUUUGAUUAUGGUAUGACAGCCGCAUCUAGUGGUGAGCUUCAGUUGCUGCCCUACAUAUAAAUAUAAAGAGUGUUACAGAGCUGUAGCUAAAAGCUGUAUAAAUGCAAAAUUAUUAAAGUGCUAAAUAGGUGGUAUUGAUCUCAAAAGUAUUAAGAGCAGAAGUUUAAAAACUUGUAUGAAUGUAAAAAAUGCUCACGUGAAGACAAAGUUGUAAGACCUGUCAAUAUUUGUCAAUAUAGAAUUGUUACAGAGCUGUGGUAUAAAAAAGGCAUAUGAAUGUAAAAUUAUGAAAGUAUGAAGAAGUGGUAUUAAUCUUAAAAGUAUAGAGAGCAGAAUUUUAAAUACUUUUAUGAAUGUAAAAAAUGCUCAAGUGAAGAAAAAGUUGUAAGACUUUUGUGAAUAAAAAUAAAUAAAGAUCAGUCUAGGUGCUUUGGAAAGACAAGUGCCUAGAGAUUUAUAUUUUACAAACUCCCCAUGAAAUGUUGAAAUAUUCAAAAGAGGUUUGCAGUCAGCAGCAUGUAACCAUAGUCACUGGUAGCGGCACAACACUACCCUAUAGUGUGCUUCAGUUACUAACUUACCAAGCUGAAGCGCACCGCAAGAUGGAGUAGUGCGUGCGGACAGAGUGUGUAGGAAAUCGACAAGCACACAACACAUGAGAAGUGCUCCACCAUGGGUGAAGUGGAUACCGUCUGAACUUCUUUACCUGACGCAGUUUUUCCAAGUGGUAUCAUGAAAAUAAGACCAUCUUAAGAAUUCUGGCACUCUCAUGAUCACUUCUAAUUGUACAGAAAAAGUGAAAUAUUGCAAAAAGUAUAAAUGGUAGAAAGGUGAAAAUUACACCCCACUAGAUGGUGCUGUCAUACCAUAAUCAAAAAUUACUAUGGUUACAUUCUGACUGUAAACUUCUUUUGAGUACUUCCACAUUUCACGGGGAGGUUGUAAUACAUACAAUUUUAGGCAUUUGGCUAUCCGAAGCACCUCGACUGAUCAUUUUUCCUUGUAAUUCACAGAAGACAUACAAUUUUAGCAAUUUUUUUUUUAUUUUUACCUUCAUCCAAGUAUUUUAGCUUCAGCUCUGUAAUAUUUUCUACAUUUUUAUGUGGGGAAGUCACUGAAGCACACCACUAGAUGGUGCUGUUUUUCCAUUAUUACAAAUGAGUCUCAUCACCCUGUGAUGAAGAAAAUGUCAAAAUGGAGAACCAACCAUCAAUGGUCACAUAUUGCCCCCUACCCAAUUGAAAAAUAAAAGCCCUUUUUCUGUGUACGAACCAAACUUUUGAAAUAAAGUACAAUUAUGACAAACCGAAAGUUGAACAUAAAGGGCUCCAGCAUCAAAAUGGAGAAUCAACUUCAAAUAGCUCCAGAGUGCCAGCUUCAAAUUUAAAAAAAAAGUAAGCCCCGCUCCUGUGUUUGACCAAAACCUUUGGAAUUGAUGUCACUUAUGUUUGACCUCAAGACAAACAAAAAUGGGUUCAAUGUCAAAAUUGAGGUCCUUCAAGAAAUAGCUACAUAGCACCCCCUUCAUAAUUUCAAAAUGAAACUCCUGCUUCUUUGAGUGACUCAGACCAAUGGACUAACAGAGACUUAUCUUGGAUCCAACUGAAAAUGGCACGACUGCGUUCUCUACAACAUUUCUAAAUGAAAGCCCUGCUCUGGUGCGCGUCCAAAACCUGUGGAAUUAGUGACACUGAAGUUGAACCUUAACACGAACAAAAACAGUUUGAAUAUCAAAAUGGAGAUCCAUCAAAACAUGGCUCUAUGGCGCCACCUUCAAAUUUCUUCAGUGUGAACCACGCUCCUGUGUUUGACCGAAACCUAUGAAAUUGAUGACACUUAUGUUUGACCUCAAGAUGAACAAAAAGGGUUUAACUGUCAUAAUGGAUGUCCAUCAUAAAAAGGCCCCAUAGCGCCCCCUUCAAAAUUUCAAAACGUAAACCCGCUCCUGCGGUCCAGACAAGUGGAUUCAAUGACACUUAUCUUGAACCCCAA